AGUUAUCAAGAAGAAGACGUGUAAUCAAGAUGAGAAUUUCCCAGAAGAACUAUUUGAUGUAAUAACACAAGAAAAUUGCAUCCAUGAUAGGUGCAAUUCAUGCUAUGAAUUCCGGGCUUUCUGUCGAUAAUUAUUUUUCAGUGCAUGGAUGAAGUAUGGCGGGAUAAAAAUCCUUUCAUGCCAUCUGACCCCAUCAGGAAAGCUCAAGCCAGGUUCUGGGCUGACUUUGUUGAUAAAAAGGUUUUUACUGUAGGAAGAAAAACUUGGGCUACAAAGGGAGAAGAUCUGGAGGCAGCUAAUAUGGAAUUCAUAGAGACCUACAAAAUUUUGGAAGGAGAACUUGGAGACAAGCCUUACUUUGGAGGUGCAAACUUUGGGACAAAGUACCAAAAACCAUUAAUUCUUCUUCACAUUUAGUCAAGUCCAAAAACCUUCUUAAAUCCCAAAAUGGCUUCAUAGAGCUUCUUGGGUUCAGGAAGAGACUUGGAGACACUAUCCCUUUCCAUGCAUCUCUUAGCCCAUGCCACCAGCUUUGGGCACUCAGUCGCCGCAUUAAAGUUGCAGAUAAUCUCAUAGGUGUGUAGCCAACUGCAGAGUCCAAUGACAACAACGUCAAGAUACCCGAACUUUUCACCCCCAAAAUAAAGUUUGUCUCCAAGGGCUUCCUCCUCCAGCGUCUUAAUGGAGUUUGUCAAGCCAAUCUUUGCUGCUUCUGGCUCUUCUCCUUUUCUUGACCAGGAUGCAUGCUUACCUUUUUGUCAAGAAAAUCAGCCCAAAACCUGGCUUGAGCUCUCUCAUAAGGAUCAGAAGGCAAGAGUGAAGCUUUACCUUUCCACACCUCGUCAAUGUAUUCCACUGCAAUGAGGGAUUCACAAACGGGUUUUCCAUCGUGAAUCAGAACCGGGAUUGUCUUGUGAAUUGGAUUCAUCCUCAAGAGCAACUCACUUUUGUUGCCAAUUAGAUCCUCUUGUUUGUGCUCGUACUUGAUUUCUUUUUCUUCUAGUGCAACUCUUGCCCUCAUGCCAUA